rnacentral:rRNA from 1 species
UACGUAGGAGGCGAGCGUUGUCCGGAUUUACUGGGCGUAAAGCGCGCGCAGGCGGCAUGGCAAGUAAGGUGUGAAAUCUCCCUGCCUAACGGGGAGGGUGCACUUUAGACUGCCAAGCUAGAGGACGGUAGAGGGGGGUAGAAUUGCUGGUGUAGCGGUGAAAUGCGUAGAUAUCAGGAGGAACACCGGUGGCGAAGGCGGCUUUCUGGACAGUAACUGACGCUGAGGCGCGAAAGCUAGGGGAGCAAACAGG